UAUUGCACAAUGGGGGAAACCCUGAUGCAGCAACGCCGCGUGAGUGAAGAAGUAUUUAGGUAUGUAAAGCUCUAUCAGCAGGGAAGAAGAUGACGGUACAUGAAUAAGAAGCCCCGGCUAACUACGUGCCAGCAGCCGCGGUAAUACGUAGGGGGCAAGCGUUAUCCGGAUUUAAUGGGUGUAAAGGGAGCGCAGACGGCAGUGCAAGUCUGGAGUGAAAGCCCGGGGCCCAACCCCGGAACUGCUCUGGAAACUGUGCGGCUAGAGUACUGGAGGGGCAGGCGGAAUUCCUAGUGUAGCGGUGAAAUGCGUAGAUAUUAGGAGGAACACCAGUGGCGAAGGCGGCCUGCUGGACAGUAACUGACGUUGAGGCACGAAAGUGUGGGGAGCAAACAGG
rnacentral:rRNA from 1 species